rnacentral:rRNA from 1 species
AGAGUUUGAUCCUGGCUCAGGACGAACGCUGGCGGCGUGCCUAAUACAUGCAAGUCGAACGAACUCUGGUAUUGAUUGGUGCUUGCAUCAUGAUUUACAUUUGAGUGAGUGGCGAACUGGUGAGUAACACGUGGGAAACCUGCCCAGAAGCGGGGGAUAACACCUGGAAACAGAUGCUAAUACCGCAUAACAACUUGGACCGCAUGGUCCGAGCUUGAAAGAUGGCUUCGGCUAUCACUUUUGGAUGGUCCCGCGGCGUAUUAGCUAGAUGGUGGGGUAACGGCUCACCAUGACAAUGAUACGUAGCCGACCUGAGAGGGUAAUCGGCCACAUUGGGACUGAGACACGGCCCAAACUCCUACGGGAGGCAGCAGUAGGGAAUCUUCCACAAUGGACGAAAGUCUGAUGGAGCAACGCCGCGUGAGUGAAGAAGGGUUUCGGCUCGUAAAACUCUGUUGUUAAAGAAGAACAUAUCUGAGAGUAACUGUUCAGGUAUUGACGGUAUUUAACCAGAAAGCCACGGCUAACUACGUGCCAGCAGCCGCGGUAAUACGUAGGUGGCAAGCGUUGUCCGGAUUUAUUGGGCGUAAAGAGAAUGUAGGCGGUUCAUUAAGUUUGAAGUGAAAGCCCUCGGCUCAACCGAGGAAGUGCUUCGAAAACUGGUGAACUUGAGUGCAGAAGAGGAAAGUGGAACUCCAUGUGUAGCGGUGGAAUGCGUAGAUAUAUGGAAGAACACCAGUGGCGAAGGCGGCUGUCUGGUCUGUAACUGACGCUGAGGCUCGAAAGUAUGGGUAGCAAACAGGAUUAGAUACCCUGGUAGUCCAUACCGUAAACGAUGAAUGCUAAGUGUUGGAGGGUUUCCGCCCUUCAGUGCUGCAGCUAACGCAUUAAGCAUUCCGCCUGGGGAGUACGGCCGCAAGGCUGAAACUCAAAGGAAUUGACGGGGGCCCGCACAAGCGGUGGAGCAUGUGGUUUAAUUCGAAGCUACGCGAAGAACCUUACCAGGUCUUGACAUACUAUGCAAAUCUAAGAGAUUAGACGUUCCCUUCGGGGACAUGGAUACAGGUGGUGCAUGGUUGUCGUCAGCUCGUGUCGUGAGAUGUUGGGUUAAGUCCCGCAACGAGCGCAACCCUUAUUAUCAGUUGCCAGCAUUAAGUUGGGCACUCUGGUGAGACUGCCGGUGACAAACCGGAGGAAGGUGGGGAUGACGUCAAAUCAUCAUGCCCCUUAUGACCUGGGCUACACACGUGCUACAAUGGAUGGUACAACGAGUUGCGAACUCGCGAGAGUAAGCUAAUCUCUUAAAGCCAUUCCCAGUUCGGAUUGUAGGCUGCAACUCGCCUACAUGAAGUCGGAAUCGCUAGUAAUCGCGGAUCAGCAUGCCGCGGUGAAUACGUUCCCGGGCCUUGUACACACCGCCCGUCACACCAUGAGAGUUUGUAACACCCAAAGUCGGUGGGGUAACCUUUUAGGAACCAGCCGCCUAAGGUGGGACAGAUGAUUAGGGUGAAGUCGUAACAAGGUAACC